CCUACGGGUGGCAGCAGUGAGGAAUAUUGGUCAAUGGACGAGAGUCUGAACCAGCCAAGUAGCGUGAAGGAUGACUGCCCUAUGGGUUGUAAACUUCUUUUAUAAAGGAAUAAAACGAGGCACGUGUGCCUUUUUGCAUGUACUUUAUGAAUAAGGAUCGGCUACUUCGGGGCAAGAAGCGCCGGUAUUACGGGGGGCCCGACCGUUAUCCGGAUUUAUUGGGUUUAAAGGGAGCGUAGAUGGGUUGUUAAGUCAGUUGUGAAAGUUUGCGGCUCAACCGUAAAAUUGCAAUUGAUACUGGCAGUCUUGAGUACAGUUGAGGUAGGCGGAAUUCGUGGUGUAGCGGUGAAAUGCUUAGAUAUCACGAAGAACUCCGAUUGCGAAGGCAGCUUACUAAACUGCCACUGACAUUGAUGCUCGAAAGUGUGGGUAUCAAACAGGAUUAGAUACCCUUGUAGUC
rnacentral:rRNA from 1 species